AGCACUUCGGACCUGUUGACAGAUGUCAUUGCUUUUACGACAGGACAUACGACCUAUCGAAUCCAUCGAAUCAUACGAAAUUCUUUAAAGAAAUGUAAAUACCCAGAAACUUAGCACGUGCGAGUGCACCCCAGACACCCAACAGCAACGAAAUCAUAGCAAUCGAGCUGCAUGCGAGAAAUUCGGAAACUGCAUAUGGUGGUGGGAAACUGCUGAGAAUUUACAACAUGCGACAGUAUCCACCCCGUUGUCACCGGCACCGGGUAUUAGACCUACUGUUCAACGGAGGGCCUAGCAGAUUGUCUCGUCAACUAAUUCCAAACCGACUAUAGUACGACGCAUGAUUUGAUAUUGGCAUAUUUCAUAUUCGUAUAUGGUAUUUCAUAAUUAAUAAAAUAAAUUCAUAAUUCAAUAAGCCGAUACAA